rnacentral:misc_RNA from 1 species
AAGUCGUAACAAGGUUUCCGUAGGUGAACCUGCGGAAGGAUCAUUAGUGAAUGAAAGGGGACCCUCAUGCUAUGAAACUUGAGUGGAACCCAACCUUCUCACUACUCCGGGGAGGGGUUUGGUCUUAGGGCCAGCCCUGAUCCGAGGGUACUCCUAUCCACUAAGGAGUCUUGGAUGGGUAACGUCUGAGGCUCUGGAUAGGAUGCCCGCCAGGCUGGGGAGCUUAGGCUCUUUGGCUGAUUUCUUUAGAAUCAACAGUUAUGUAUGUCUAUGUAUUUGUUUUAAACCAAUACAACUUUCAGCAACGGAUCUCUUGGCUCUC